rnacentral:rRNA from 1 species
ACGAUUAUGGCUCAGAUUAACGCUAGCGGGAUGCUCUACACAUGCAAGUCGAACGGCAGCACGGACUUCGGUCUGGUGGCGAGUGGGCGGAACGGCAGUAAUGUACUGGAACGUGCCCAGUAGCGGGGAUAACGGCCACGUGAAAGCGUAGCUAAUACCGCAUAAUACCCUACGGGGAAAGCAGGGGAUCGCAAGACCUUGCACUAUUGGAGCGGCCGAUAUCGGAUUAGCUAGUUGCGGGUAACGGCUCACCAAGGCGACAGAUCCGCAGCUGGUCGAGAGGACGACCAGCCACACUGGGACUGAGACACGGCCCAGACUCUACGGGAGGCAGCAGUGGGGAAUUUUGGACAAUGGGGGAAACUCCUUGAUCCAGCCAUCCCGGCGUGCGUAUGAAGGCCUUCGGGUUGUAAAGCACUUUUGGCAGGAAAGAAACGUCGGGUUAAUACCCGGCGAAACUGAUGCGCCCAGAGAAUAAGACCGGCUAACUACGCGCCAGCAGCCGCGGUAAUACGUAGGGUGUGCGUUAAUCGGAAUUACUGGGCGAAAAGGGCAGGCGGUUCGGAAAGAAAGAUGUGAAAUCCCCAGAGCUUAACUUUGGAACUGUAUUUUUAACUACCGCUAGAGGAAGUCAGAGGGAGGUGGAAUUCCGCGUGUAGCAGGAAAUGCGUAGAUAUGCGAGAACACCGAUGGCGAAGCGCGCAGGUCGCGGAUAACACUGACGCUCAUGCACGAAAGCGCGGGAGUAAACAGGAUUAUACCCGGUAGUCCACGCCCCAAACGAUGUCAAUCCGCUGUUGGGGUCAUUCUGGUAGCGCAGCUAACGCGUGAAGUUGACCGCCUGGGGAGGUCGCAGAGAUUAAACUCAAAGCAUCGACGGGGACUCCAAGCGGUGGAUGAUGUGGAUUAAUUCGAUGCAACGCGAAAUCUUUACCUACCCUUGAGAUAGUCUGGAAUGCCGAAGAGAUUUGGCAGCGCUCGCAAGAGAACCGGAACACAGGUGCUGUACAUGGCUGUCGUCAGCUCGUGUCGUGAGAUGUUGGGUUAAGUCCGGCAAACGAGCGGCAACCCUAGUCAAGCAUACGAAAGGGCACUGACGAGACUGCCGGUACAAACGGAGGAAGGUGGGGAUGACGUCAAGUCCUCAUGGCCUUUAUGUAGGGCUUCACACGUCAUACAAUGGUCGGGACAGAGGUCAGCCAACCGCGAGGGGAGCCAAUCCCAGAAACCUGAUCGGUCCGGAUCGCAGUCUGCACCGACUGCGUGAAGCCGGAAUCGGCACCGCGGAUCAGCAUGUUGUGAAUACGUUCCCGGGUCUUGUACACACCGCCCGUCACACCAUGGAGUGGGUUUUACCAGAAGUAGUUAGCCUAAACCGCAAGGGGGGCGAUUACCACAGUAGGAUUCAUGACUGGGGUGAAGUCGUAACAAGGUAG